rnacentral:rRNA from 2 species
UUACUGAAACUUUGUUUUAAUAAUUGAUAGAUAAAUGGUGGCACAGAAUCGGAGGCCCCGACUGUUUACUAAAAACACAACACAGUGCAAUCAUUAAUAUGGUAGUAUACUGUGUGAAAUUUGCCCAAUGCCAUUAAUAUAAAAGCGGUCAUAGGAAACUGUGACUAAUUGAAAAUCUGGUUAAUAGCGGUCUUAACCAUGAGGAUCCUAAGGUAGCAAAAUAAAUUGGCCAUUAAAUGUGGUCCGGUAUCAAUAAUGUAACGAUGGCCUCACUGUCUCUACAACUUGCUCAGUGAAAUUGAAUU